CACAGUCUUUAGAAGCCUGAUCUUGAGUGCUAUGGAGAAGACGAUUUCAGUCCUAAGCAGUUCCAGGAGGAUUUGACCUGACCCUCCAGACUUCCUCUGCCACAAAAUGGUCCCUGUUUCUUCUUGAAAGAAUGGAAAGAUCAUGGCAAACAAGUUGGAAUUAUUUCCACUUUUGUGGAAUUUAACUUUUCUUUCAAUCCUUGCAAUCGUUCCACAAGCCAGGUCCUAUACUAGACUCCAUCAUCUGCAGAAGGGGUACACUGGCUUUGACAGACACAUUUUCUUCUAUUGGAGGAGAGUUUGCUGAGAAAAAGAGCAAUGGUGGUUAAGUGAGUGUUUUGAGGAAGAUGACAGAUGUUUGGAAACGGUGAUGCGAAGAAACAGAAGAGCUAACUAAGGACAAUACUGAG
rnacentral:lncRNA from 13 species